rnacentral:rRNA from 1 species
CGGGAAGCCCAUCCUAAGAUUAGGUUUCGUUUAGAUCCCAUAUAGAAGAUGUGGUUGAUAGGCUCUAGGUGGAAGCGUAGUAAUACGUGCAGCCGAGGAGUACUAAUAGAUCGACGACUUGAUUUUUA